rnacentral:tRNA from 1 species
GGGGAUCUAGCUCAGUGGUAGAGUGCUUGCCUAGCAAGCACAAGGCCCUGGGUUCGGUCCCCAGCUCCG